rnacentral:rRNA from 1 species
AUACGGAGGAUCCGAGCGUUAUCCGGAUUUAUUGGGUUUAGAGGGUGCGUAGGUGGGCUGAUAAGUCAGUGGUGAAAGUUUGCAGCUUAACUGUAAAAUUGCCGUUGAAACUGUUGGUCUUGAGUGCAAAUGAGGUAGGCGGAAUGUGUUGUGUAGCGGUGAAAUGCUUAGAUAUGACACAGAACACCGAUUGCGAAGGCAGCUUACUGGGAUGCAACUGACACUGAUGCACGAAAGCGUGGGUAUCAAACAGGAUUAGAUACCCUGGUAGUCCACGCAGUAAACGAUGAAUACUAGUUGUCUGCGAUAUAUUGUAGGUGACACAGCGAAAGCGUUAAGUAUUCCACCUGGGGAGUACGUUCGCAAGAAUGAAACUCAAAUGAAUUGGCGGGG